ensembl:lncRNA
AUUAAGUCACUAAGUCCUGUUUGACUCUCUGUGACCCCAUGGACUGUAGCCCUCCAGGCUGCUCUGUCCAUGGGAUUCUCCAGACAAGAAUACUGGAGUAGGUUGCCAUGCCCUUCUCCAGGGGAUCUUCCUGACCCAGAGAUCAAAUCCAUGGUUCCUGCAUUGCAGGCAGAUACUUUACCACUUACCAAAUGCCAUUGUUGCUGUGGUUAUGUUCCCUGUAACACUGCUGUUGAGUUCAUUCUAUAGGAGGUAAAUCCUGGCAAUAGACUUGUGCUCUUACAGUGUCCUGGCCGUACCCUGUUCCCUGUUGCUGUGAGACAUCCUUACUAACAGGAUGGUAGGUUGGUCUGGUGAAGACUCUUCUGGUGCCGCCUGAAUGGAUCGCUCGGUGGAGCUCAGGAAAAUAUAUGCUUAUGAAGAAAAAAAAUCCCUCAAAUUACACAGAAAAAUAGUUGUGUUCUUUUGAUAAGAGUACAUCAUGAGAAACGCUGGGCUGGAAGAAGCACAAGCUGGAAUCAAGAUUGCCAG